UACGUAGGGGGCAAGCGUUGUCCGGAUUCAUUGGGCGUAAAGAGCGUGUAGGCGGCCAGGUAGGUCGGUUGUGAAAACCCGCGGCUCAACCGCGGGCCUGCAGCCGAUACGGGCAGGCUGGAGUUCGGUAGGGGAGACUGGAAUUCCUGGUGUAGCGGUGAAAUGCGCAGAUAUCAGGAGGAACACCGAUGGCGAAGGCAGGUCUCUGGGCCGAUACUGACGCUGAGGAGCGAAAGCGUGGGGAGCGAACAGG
rnacentral:rRNA from 1 species